rnacentral:rRNA from 1 species
GCGGAAGGAUCUUAUCGAAAUAGAACCUCUAGGGAGGGGGAGGGGGAGAGUCCUCGCGUCGCUCCUUCGAACCUUUCCGAGGCUUCAUACCUCCCACACCCGUGUGCACCCGCUGUAGGUGCCUUAGGGACCUAUGUCUUCUCAGAACUCGCAUGUCUACAGAAUGUCGUCCGUGGCCUCGGCCAUCGUAAACCUAGUACAACUUUCAGCAAUGGAUCUCUUGGCUCUCGCAUCGAUGAAGGACGCAGCGAAUCGCGAUAAGUAAUGUGAAUUGCAGAUUUUCCGUGAAUCAUCGAAUCUUUGAACGCACCUUGCGCUCCUCGGUAUUCCGAGGAGCAUGCCUGUUUGAGUGUCAUCGAAAUAUCAAAUCGAAGCUUUCGACCCCCGUCGGAGCUAGGUUUGACCAUGGAGUCUGCGGGCGGAUCCCUCUGUCGGGAGGGGGACCUUCGGUCUCUAAAAGCAUUAGCGCGUGUGCAAGCUUGACGGACGGCUUUUCACGUAUAUGACCGC